UCUCCUCCGUCUCCUUCUCAAUAUUUUUCUACCUUUGCUUUUGCUUCUACUUUAGUUUGUAGAUUUUGGAAAUGAAAAAGAAAUAUGACAAGUAUUGGACAAAUUUAAUGACUACUAAUCAGUUGUUGUAUUUUGGUGUCAUUUUGGACCCUCGAUCUAAGAUGAAGUAUAUAGAAUGGUAUUUUGAGGGCAUGCACAAGGAUGGCAAGCAGUUUGCAAAGCAGCUCUAUAAAUAUGUGAAUGCCAAUUUGAGAAGGAUGUAUGAUUUGUACAUUGUUGCCCAUGGCUAACAAUAUAAUCAAAACCAAUCAGAAUAAGAUAGUGGUUUAGCUGCACAAACUACUAAUUAAUGCAUCUAAGGGAAAUAAGUUUAAUUGAUACAAAAAAUGAGCUUGAGACAUAUUUGGUUGAAGCAAUUAUUGAUGCUGAAGACAAUUUUGAGUUACUUUCACUACUAAAAAAAUAAUGUUUUUACGACGCACAUUCUUAGAACCGUCUUAGAAUGUGACUCAGUGAUAUUUUUGUAAUUAAUGCCAAUAUAACUACGACGGUCUCUAACACCCGUCUUUGAAGGUAGAACGCGAUGACAUUUUCAUCAAUUGAAGACUUCAUUCUAUGAUGGGUUAUAGUCGAUAACCGUCUUUGUUAAUUUACAAAAAUAAUAAAAAAAAGGUUAUACGUAUAUUAAAUGUUUUAUGUUAGACAAAAACUAUUUCAUGUUUUUUUACUGUUUGAAUAUACCUAGCUUACGCGUUCUGAACCCGAAGAUGAAGCUGACAACCUCAAAGCUGAGAUCGUGUGCUAUGUCGUCCCGCAGUGUGUCGUCAGUGACAUCGUGGUCAUGCUGCCCCGUCGAAGUCAGCCCUAAACCCUAAACGAGCAGUCCGUGCCGCGCGCACCCUGUCGUGCCCUUCCCCGUUGUCGAAGGCUGCACAUUGCGACUUGGAAUCUAUGGAUCCUGCUACAUUAUUUGUCCCCACAUUUUUUAGAGCAAUUAAGGAUAAUACAAAACAAAGCUUUACAAACUCAUGACAACACCCCCAAGGUCCCCUCCACAUUCAAAUAUUCUUUCAGAUGCUACAUCUAGGAGGACUAGACAAUCCACUCGGCUGAGAAGGUUGACAGUUUGAAGCUUGGAUCAACCACGACCUACAAUUAACGUCAAUCCUGCCACUAGGAGAGGAUUAGGCCCUCAUAAAGAAAAGUUUCAUAGUUAUCUGGGAGUUGUAGUGUGAGAGAAAAUUCCUAUUGUCCACUCCAAUUGGAAUGUUGUACCAAAAACUUUAAAGAAUCUAAUAUGGGAUGACAUUUUGGUAAGUCGUUAUUUAAGUUGACAUUUGUAUAUGAUUUCAUAUAAUAAUUUAAAAAAUAUUAUAUUUCACUAAUUGUUACUUAAAAAUUUUGUUUUGGAGGGAAAAUUUGACAUCCUCGAGGGUGACAAUGCAAAAACGAAGGUGAUGUCAACGGUCGCUACUCGAAGGAGGCAAUUUAAGUCCUCCCUGACAAAAAAAUACGUUUAUUUUGACAGUGAGGGUCAAGCAAAAGAUGAUCCUUCUGUUAAGUAUGGCAUUGGUGCAGCAACUUGGGCCGAAUUUGCAAAAAGCCGCCAAACCCCAAAUUGGCAGAGAAAGGCCCAGGAAAUUCAAAAAUACAAUGACUGUUUGCACUCAUUGUCUCGUGGGGGUUACGAACUGCUUGAAAAAAAAUUAAUGGACCGGAAAAGGAAGACACGAGAACAUCAAGCAGGAUUUAUUGAAAAUUUUUCAUUGAGUGUCAACCCACCAUCCCCCAUUUCUAGACAUGUCAAGUGGAAGAUGGCCCACACAAAGCGACAUGGCCAAAUAACCUCUACAACUGCCCAACAAAUAUCAGACAAAAUUGUUGUGAGGACAUAUUGAACACGACUAUUGGCCAACCAGAGCAUCCAGGUCGUGUUUGUGUGGCGGGGACAAGUGUGACAAUCAGCCAGUUCUUUGGUCAGGCCUCACGUGGAUCUAACACUUCCUCUACAUCGAUCACUCAAUAAAAGUUGGUUGAAAUCAUCAGUAACUUGAAGGAAGAAUGAAGGAAAGAAGUAGAAGAAGAUAACAAGAACCUACAGGAAGCGUGGAGGAGGAAGGUAGAAGAGGAAAACCAACGCACUUUGGAGAUAAUUAAACAAGAGUUGAAACAAGUAAUCAAAUUAGAGUUAUCCCAAAUAGCAUCACACCACUCACCCCCACUUUAGCCACCGGAUAUACAAGUAUUAGUUGCACGGGUCAGCACGAAGGGGAGCUGUGCAAAAGCUGACACAAAUCCAUUAGGUAAAGAUACUUCUAAUGUGCACGCCGAUACCAUGGGCUUGUAUGUAGUUGCUGAGCAAUCUACUCAACUAGUGGCAUUGGGAAAAGUCUAUGACAGUUUGUCGACCAUAAACAAUGUCCCUUACGAGGAUGAUGUGGUUAGGGUGAGUGUUGUCAAAGUAUACCACGGUGAUGCUCAGCUUCCUUUCCUAACAUAGGAAAUUCAGUUUGUGAGGCAAGCCGUUGGCACUUUCGAGGGGUGGCCGACACAUCUUGUGAUACCCAUAUCUGAUGAGGAUUCACAAAAGCGUCUGCCCAUUUCGGUUAAAUCUAUUGAAAUGGACAAUGUAGUGGUUGCAAUUGAUCCAUUGGGAGAAUUGGUAAAGAACUUGUUUGAUAUUUACCAAAAGCCAAUUGAGUUGGCGUGAGAUGGGGCAAAAUUUGGGAUACCUAAUGUCAAAGAUGACUUUUUCAUCACACAUGCAGAUGUUAGUGAGAUUAUUUUAGGUGACAAGUGUUUGAACAUAUCCAUACUACAGUUGUGGCUAAUGUAAGUAAAUUUGGUUUACUAGGUGUUUCAUUUGUUAACUGAGGAUGUAAGUUGGUUAAAAUAUGCCAUUAACAAUAUUUAUGUCAAAUGUUUGAAACAAGUUUAUGAAUGAUUGGAGUACAAGCUUAGGUUAUGGAUCACUGUAUGGUUUCCUUUAACCUCAGUCUAUCCAUAACGCAAAGAACAAACAUGAAGAAUGCCAACAUUACAUUCAAAAAUGGGUCAAGGAAUCACAACGAAAAGUGUACUUGGGACCUUACCUAAAUCAGUAAGUUGAAUUGAUGUUGUAGAAUAUGGAUAUUAUGUGCAUUAUUGUUGCCUAACUAAUGUUUUUCGUCUUCAAGGCACAUUGGCAACUUGUUGUUCUGUGUCCACGGGACAAUAUUGUUGUUUGGUUUUGUUCUUUGUGUAAGAAGCCUGAUGUUAACAUCAAGACAACAAUGAAUAAGUUAGUUUUAACAUUAAAAGUCAAUUGAAAUAUUGCAAUUGUAGGGUAUAAAGACAAUGAUUAUUUGAAUAUAUACGUUAACGUCAUUUUUAAACUAGUGCAAUGAAAACAUUAAGCACUACUUUGGAAGGAAAGACAGAUCAAGAGGUUGAUUGAACCAAAGGUAUGUCAUUAUAUCAAAUCAAUAUAGCCAUCUCCAAUUACUGACGUGUGUUUCUUUGAAAUAACUACCUUAAGUAAACAUAUUGCAUGAAGAGUCAUUUUCAAACCGGAGGCUACAAGUGUAGAUAUUAUGUCAUGCAUCGGAUGUGGUGCAUAGUGAGCGACGGUUUGAAGAAUGAAUGGAAUAUGGUUAUGUUUACUUAUUACUAUAACAUGUCUUACUUGUUACUAUCAUUUGAGGUCACUAAUUCCAAUGCGUUUAUGUACGUCAGCCAUUUGAUAUUUACAAUUUUGCAGUAGUUUUUUGAUGAAACACCGUUAAACAAAGAGACCAUGACAACACUUCGCAACAAAUGGGCGGGAUAUUUUCUACUGAUUAAGAACAUGGAAGUUAGAAAAAUUUAGAUAACAUAGGAACAUGUUUCUUUGAAACUAUGCAUUUUCAUUGUACAAUCAUUUGAUUACAAACACAUUAGAAUCAGUUCACAUUUAUUUUAGUAGUAAUAUACAUUUGCGUUAGUAAUACUUAUUAUAACCUUCAUUUUUACCAAACUCAGCUUCCAGAAAAUACCAUUUUCAUGGUGGGAAAUUUUGAUGUUUCCAAAGCAUGCUUUAUUGCUGAUUUGUUAUAUCAACAUUACAUUUGUUCAUGGUUCGUUGUCUCUCUAACCAAAUUUAUGCAGCUGUUGAAGUAUGAGGAUGUACAAAUGCUUGAUUUACUUCAACAAGUACAGUAUUGGCAGAAAUUCUACUUGUGGGGUCCCUUACAAAAACUAGUAUGUUACCCUCUAUUUUCCUCUUGAUGUGGACAAUCAUUUGAUUGUUGAUGUUUGGUCAAUUAACAUAGGUUUUUUGAGGAUAUUAGUUCUUGUAUGAUGUGUACAUUCUAUAGCCUACCAAAGAACAUGAUAUAAACUUUGAACAAGGUUGAGACUGAUCUGGUUUUAACAAGUAAAAUAAUUAAAUACCUAAAGUUGAUUUAUUGGCAACCAAGUUUUGAUCAAAAUGGUCUUCAGUAGAUUGAAUCACUUAAGAAUUCAUAUCAUUUUGGUGUGAGUGUGAAUUUGGAAAUUCACAACUCGGGUUCUUUAUUAUUUUUUUCUUCGAUGUGUGUGUUUUGCAUUGUAGUUCAUAUUACAAUGAAUCUGUCUCAUUCUACUAUUUUGUUUUGGUUUACUAGUGAAAGAGAAAACAUGGGUGAUAUUUAAGGGAGUGGAGGAUGCUACCUAUAUUCUAGGUGAUGCUAUUAAGUUAAGAGAAAUCAGUGAAAGUGUUCAAAGAGAAGACAUAACGAGGGAUUGGUUAGGAAGCAGAGGGAUCAAAGGUGUAUGGUAAGAAUAGUGAAGAGUGGUUUCAAAAAGAAGAAGACGAAAUGGUGGGAUCCAUUGCUAGGACAUUGGAAGAAGAGGUCAAGGUUAUCUAUGAAGAACAUAAUAGUUAGCAUUUUGGGAACAAUAAUGGCUUUGAUUUAGAGUUUAUGGCCUCUUCUUCUAAGUUCUGGGCUGAGGAAGCCUCGCUUUGGCAGGUUUGUGCGAAUGUGCUUCACUUUCAUUAUCAAUUACUACCUCUUUUUAGUUGAUUUAAUAUUUAGGGGCCAUUUUUGUUGAUUUUCUUGGCUUUGAUAUUAUAUUCCUAUCUAUCUUCCUAGUGAACCAUAUUAUACUUCAUGUUAGGAUGAUUUUAAACAGGUGCUAUGUGAGCUUUUGGAAACUCAUCCAGGGCUGGAGUUCCUGCAGAGCACACCUGAGUUUCAAGAGAGAUAUGAAUGAAUCACUAAAUGAGGGUGGAAUGCUUUUUGUGGACAAGCACCCUAACCUUAGGGUCCGUGUUGUUCAUGGGAACAUGUUUACUGUUGCUGUCAUACUCAAUGAGAUCCCUCAAGGUGUGAAAGAGGCGUUCCUAAAAGGAGCGACAUCCAGGCUUGGAAGAGCAAUUGCUCUCUACCUUUGCCAAAAGAAAGUCAAAGUUCUGAUAUAAGGAUGGGACAAGAUGAAAUGAAAUUGUAGUGCUAUGAAAUGGACACAUUUCAACGCUUGAUUGCAGAAUGGGGCUGCAGUUUACAACAUAGGAGCUAUAAGUGCUGCCUUCCUUGCCAACAUUGCCAAAACUGAUGCAAAAGUAAGCUUCAAUGGAAAUUCAUAUCACUUAUCCGCAUGGUCUUUGAGCAUCUUACCAGACUGCAAGAGUGUAGUGCUUAAUACGGCAAAGGUUUGCUUUAUCAACUUCGUGAUCAAAAUAGAUGAUGCAAUUGAAUGAAGUUCCUUUUGAAAUGCAUGUGAUUAAUCUAUCUAUAGUCUAUAGUUUAGAUCUUUUCUUUCAUUUUCUAGUACAAGAAGUGGCAUAUCCUAUAGUUAUUUAUGAUAUGACAGAUUAACUCUGCAUCUAUGAUUUCAAGCUUCACAACUGAAUCUUUAAAAGAAGAGGUUGGCUCUUUGGAUGAUUCUGGCUCGGGAUGGAGUUGGAUUAGUGAACCUAUCGAUAUUUCAAAGGCUCAUUCAUUCUCAAAAUUUUGGUUACUGGAGCAAAUAAAUACAACUGCAGAUAGAAGUGUUCCUCAAGAUAUAUAGUAUACCUUUAAGGUUGAGAAAGCUUUCUUCUGACUCAUAAGAUGGUAACACUUUUCAUGUUUUUUUUUUCUGCAGCAUUGAUCUUGAUGCUGCUACUGAAACUGUCCUUCACAUUGAAUCCCUUGGUCAUACUCUUCAUGCUUUAAUAAAUGGGAUGCUUGCAGCUAAAUAAAAUUUAAAGCAUUGACAUAGGAUGAUAUGUCUUUUUAUAAUUUUAAAUAUUUUGGAUGCCCAUGUGUGUUCAUGUUUAAAUUCCUUGGCAGUAUUUUAAGGCUUGACAAAGAAGUGUUUCUCACCCCACCUCUCUUAAGCUCAAUUAGGAAAUGCAGCAAAAUGAAUUCAGACUAUGUUUAGGUUGGCAUUAUGGUGGGUCCAAGAAGGAUUUUACCCUUUAAGCAAUUGAGGAUUUUGGUUGGCAAACAGUAUGUAAUCGUCAAAACAAAAAUAACAAACGUGUGUGGUGUCUCUAUCUUCCUGCUAUGUGUGGCAGGUAGGCGGUGGCCACAUAUGAUAGAUCAGUAACCUGAGAACAUAAUAUUCUCUGAUGUGGAUCCAAAA